GGAGUCUUGUCCGUGUCUCAGUACCAGUGUGGGGGACCUUCCUCUCAGAACCCCUAAGGAUCGAUGGCCAGGUGGGCCGUUACCCCGCCUGCUGCCUAAUCCUACGCAUCCCCAUCCCAAGGCGAUGAAUCUUUACUCCUCAUCAGAUGCCAUCAAAAGAGACCAUCAGGUAUUAAUCCGACUUUCGCCGGGCUGUCCCUGACCUCGGGGCAGGUUGGAUACGCGUUACUCACCCGUCCGCCACUAAGCUUAAAAAUCCAUUGGAGCAAGCUCCGCUUUCUUAAUAAGCUCCGUUCGACUUGCAUGUGUUAAGCACGCCGCCAGCGUUCAUC
rnacentral:rRNA from 1 species